UCCAAAAUCUGUAUUAGGGCAAUAACUUUAGUACACAGAUUCAGUAGCCACAAAACUGUGGACAAGCUUUCAUUAAUCUAGAUCUCUUCAUCAGACUGGGUGGUAAACAACAUAAAUAAACAGGUGCAAAGUGGUGGGACAUAUUCAAACUGGGCUCUGCUAGGUGAUCAAACCUAGAAUUGUUCUUAAGGAUUGUUGGGAUGAGGAUGCUAACAAAACAGUGAUUGGUACAAAUUUUGCUUUGUUUACUAGCUAGAAAUGAUCAAGAGAUCUGUGGCACUUUCAAAGGCAGUUGAGCUUCAGUUCCAGUGACUGAAAAUUGCCUUACAAUCGGAAUGUCUCCAUACGUAAGGCUGUUCCAGCUGCCACAUCACACUGUUGACUCGUGUGUCGUCACAUGAAACAGAAAAAAGAUGAGAGUAGAACAUAAAAUCAGAAUUGGAAGGGGACAGAUGGACCAUGGAGUCCAACCUCCUGCUGAAUUCAGGAAUGCCAGCUAAAGCAUCUCUAGGAGAGAGCUGUCAAGCCUGUUUUAGAAAAUGUCUGGAGGAGAGCCCACCAUCUUUCUAGGUAAUUGGUUCUAUUGUUCAGUUGAAAUCUUAAAACCAUUAGACCUGGUCCUUACCUUUGGGGCAGCAGGAUGAACAGAGAACAAACCCACAUUCUCUUUAAAUACUCCUGACACCCUUGAAGUAUUUGAAGAAUGCAAGCAUAUCACCUGUCUUCUCUUCACCAAGAACAUGCCCAGUGCUUUCAACCUUUCCUCAUGUUUUGGUCUCCAUACAACUUUGUUACCCUUCCCUGAACCUGCUCCAACUUGGCUAUAUCCUUGUACAACUGAGGCAGAACUGUACACAGUACUCCAGAGGGGGCAUGACCAGUGCAUAAUAUAGUGGAACUGUUACUUCCAUUAACUUAGAAACUAUGCUUUUAUUAAUGUAGGCUAUGGCCUAUUACAGACUGCCAAAAUAA